rfam:Brassica oleracea var. oleracea cultivar TO1000 chromosome C2, whole genome shotgun sequence
AGAAUAUAAGAAACCGUUUAUUAACUUUUAACUAAAAAAGCUAAGAACGGGCUUAUUUAAGAGCCGGUUCUUAGCUUUUUUUAGUUAAACAUUAAUAGACGGUUUCUUAUAUUCC